rnacentral:tRNA from 1 species
CUCCUCGUAGUUCAACGGAUAGAACAGCGCCGUCCUAAGGCGUUGAUGUAGGUUCGACUCCUACCGAGGAGA